rnacentral:rRNA from 1 species
GACGAACGCUGGCGGCGUGCUAACACAUGCAGGUCGAACGGAAAGGCCCUGCUUUUGUGGGGUGCUCGAGUGGCGAACGGGUGAGUAACACGUGAGUAACCUGCCCUUGACUUUGGGAUAACUUCAGGAAACUGGGGCUAAUACCGGAUAGGAGCUCCUGCUGCAUGGUGGGGGUUGGAAAGUUUCGGCGGUUGGGGAUGGACUCGCGGCUUAUCAGCUUGUUGGUGGGGUAGUGGCUUACCAAGGCUUUGACGGGUAGCCGGCCUGAGAGGGUGACCGGCCACAUUGGGACUGAGAUACGGCCCAGACUCCUACGGGAGGCAGCAGUGGGGAAUAUUGCACAAUGGGCGGAAGCCUGAUGCAGCAACGCCGCGUGCGGGAUGACGGCCUUCGGGUUGUAAACCGCUUUCGCCUGUGACGAAGCGUGAGUGACGGUAAUGGGUAAAGAAGCACCGGCUAACUACGUG